rnacentral:sRNA from 1 species
GCCGGGUGCAGUGGUGCACGCCUGUAAUCCUAGCAGCUCAGGAGGCUGAGGUAGGAGGAUCACAAGUUCAAAGCCAGCCUCAG